UAUCUAUGAUGAUCCUAUCCCAAACCUAAAUUUCUAAUGAAAAAAGUUAAUAUGGAUCUCGUUUUUAGGAC